GGAGAGGUCGCAUAGUGGCCGAGUGCGCUUGCUUGGAAAGCAAGUGUCUACGAAAGUGGACCGCGAGUUCGAAUCUCGCCCUCUCCG
rnacentral:tRNA from 1 species